rnacentral:rRNA from 1 species
AUCAAUUAAACUGAUCUCCUAGUAAAAAAGCUAGAAUUACAACAUAAGACCAGAAGACCCUGUGAAGCUUAAAUAAAACUAUUAAACCAUAUAAUAGCUACUUUCGGUUGGGGCGACCUUGGAAAAAAAAAGAACUUCCAAAUAAAAUGAAUAUACCUCAUUAUCUAAACAGGCCAACAAGCCAAAAAUGACCCAGCACAGCUGAUAAUUGAACCAAGUUACUCCAGGGAUAACAGCGCAAUCUUCUUCAAGAGCCCAUAUCAAAAAGAAGGUUUACGACCUCGAUGUUGGAUCAGGACAUCCUAAUGGUGCAGCCGCUAUUAAGGGUUCGUUUGUUCAACGAUUAAUA